CAACGUGGGUAACCUGCCUUAUAGUGGGGGAUAGCCUUUCGAAAGGAAGAUUAAUACCGCAUAAGAUUGUAGUAUCGCAUGAUAUAGCAAUUAAAGGAGCAAUCCGCUAUAAGAUGGACCCGCGUCGCAUUAGCUAGUUGGUGAGGUAAUGGCUCACCAAGGCGACGAUGCGUAGCCGACCUGAGAGGGUGAUCGGCCACAUUGGGACUGAGACACGGCCCAGACUCCUACGGGAGGCAGCAAUG
rnacentral:rRNA from 1 species